GACAAACCAGAAAAAAAUCGAAAAAAAAAACAACUUUGAGCGGUGGAUCACUCGGCCUCGUG
rnacentral:rRNA from 1 species